rnacentral:lncRNA from 1 species
AGUGUUGGUGUUAACUCCACUGCAGGGAGAGGGCGAAUGGAGUGAGUCUGAAGGUCGUGGACUCAGCGUGGAGGAGGCGGCCUCUGAGGGAACAUGACACUUUAUCAUACAAACUACCUCUUAUAACAGCAUCCUGUUUAUUACUCCCUUUAAAGCAAACUGGUAUUCCAAGUUUGAUGGUACCAUCCCAAUUUUAUUCCUGGUUUUGGUCAAUAUUCCUGGAAAGUCAACACCUAAAGCUGCCCUGGCUUUCCUACAUCCUACCUUUCAGAAAAGGAUGCUGAAGACGGAGGUCAGACAGAGAACCCAGUCCAGCUUUUAAGCCAUCUAUUUUCCAUGCUCUCUUUAGCUUCUACAUCUCCAACCAAGUUUUAAACAAAUCUUAGCACCUCCCUGGUGGUCCAGUGGCUAAGAGUCCACUUGCCAAUGCAGAGGACACAGGUUUGAUCCCUGGUCCGGGAGGAUUCCACACGCCUCUGGACAACCAAGCCCACGCGCCGCAACUACGGAAGCCGCGAGUCCUACAGCCCUCGCUCCAUGGGAAGAGAAGCUGCUGUGAUGAGAAGCCUGUGCAACCAGAAAGGAGCCCGCACGCACCACGACCACAGAAAGCCUGCACACAGCAACAAAGACCCGCAUAGCCAAGACAGUAAGGUUUUAAAAAUCUUCAAAAAUAAUAAAAAAAUAAAGAAAUUAUGAUCAGAUAACCAUUUGGAAAGAAAAAAUAGAGGAGGGUUUCUUAUACUAAAAUUAUAUCAAACAAAACAAAAUGAAAACAUUAAACUACCACAACAGACAUAAGUGAUGAUUUUCACCUGGGCCUAGGGCAGUUCCAUGGAAGUCAUAACAAUGAAAGGAUUAACACUGUAACACUUUUAUAUGGCGAAAAUGCACUAAAACAAAACAAGAAUAAAGGCUCAAGACAAAGAGAAACUGAGAAAAAACAAGAAACAAACAACAAACUAUUAGUAUCUUUUUUUUUUGGCUACAAGACAUAUAGAGGUCUUCAUUCCCAGAUCAGGGUUCAAACCUGUGCCCCCUGCUGUGGAAGAGUCUUGACCACUGGACAGCCAUGGAAGUCCCUAGUACCCUUAAUAUGCAAAGAGCAGUCACAAGUCAAUAAAAAAAGGACCACCUCAGUAAAAAUGGGUAAAGAAUUGGUAAUUUUUCAAAGACAUCAGAAAUGGCUAAUAUGAAAUUAUUUUCUUGAUUGGUAGGAUUUAUAAUAUUAAUACCUAAUGCUGACAAAGGUGUUUGUGGGAGUGUAAACUGGUACAUUUCCAGAGGGAAAUCUGAUGAUAAAGACAUCAAAAUAGUAAAUGUGUGUAUCUUUUAUCCAACAAUCUCAUUCCUAGGAAAAUGUAAGAAAAUUGACCAAAUGAAUAAAGGACCAAAAGCAACAUGUUUAUCAAAGCAUAGUACACAUUUUUAAGCUUGAAAUCAUUUGUCCUUCAACAAUGGAAAAGAGUAAUUUUUAGCUAUGAGCCAAAGACAUUGCUGCUGCUGCUGCUGCUUAGUCACUGAGUCGUGUUCGACUCUUUGCAACCCCAUGGACUGGGACGCCAAGCCUCCCUGUCCUUCACUAUCUCCCAGAGUUUGCUCAAACUCAUGUCUGUUGAGUCAGUGAUGCUAUCUAACCAUCUCAUCCUCUGUCAUCCCCUUCUCCUCCUGUCCUCAGUCUAUCUCAGCAUCAGGGUCUUUUCCAACAAGUCGGCUCUUCCCAUCAGGUGGCCAAAGUAUUAGAGCUUUAGCAUCAGUCCUUCCAAUUAAUAUUCAGGGUUGAUUUCCUUUAGGAUUGACUGGUUGGAUCUCCUUGCAGUCUAAGGGACCCUCAAGCACCACAGUUCAACAGCAUCAAUUCUUCAGCACUCAGCCUUCUUUAUGGUCCAACUCUCACAUCUGUACAUGACUACUGGAAAAACCAUAGCUUUGACUAUACAGACUUCUGUUGGCAAAGUGAUGUCUCUGCUUUUUGAUGUGCUGUCUAGGUUUGUCAUAGCUUUUCUUCCAAGGAACAAGCGUCUUUGAAUUUCAUGACUGUAGUCAUGGUCAGCAGUGAUUUUGGAGCCCCAGAAAAGAAAAUCUGUCACUGCUUCCAUUUUUUCCCCAUCUAUUUGCCAUGAAGUGAUGGGACCCAAUGCUUGAUGCACGAUCUUAGUUUUUUGAAGGUUGAGUUUUAAGCCAGCUUGUUCACUCUCUUCUUUUACCCUCAAGAGGCUCUUUAGUUUCUCUUCACUUUCUGCCAUUAGAGUGGUAUGCUUAUCUGAUGUUGUUGGUAUUUCUCCUGGCAAUCUUCAUCCAUCCUAGAUUUUUUGUGUGAAAUACUCAACAUAUAAGUUAAAUAAACAGGGUGACAAUAUACAGCCUUGACAUACUCCUUUCCCAAUUUUUAACCAGUCAGUUGUUCCGUGUCCAGUUCUGUUGCUUCUUUUCCUGCAUAUAGCUUUCUUAGGAGACAGGUAAGGCAGUCUGUUAUUCCCAUCUCUUAAAAUAUUUUUCACAGUUUGUUGUGAUCCACACACUCAAAGGUUUUGGCAUAGUCAAUAAAACACACACAAUUAAAACACAUACACCCACACAAUUAAGCCUUGCCUUUCAAAUAUGUCCAGUGCAGUUACCACACUUGAGCACUGAGGGACGAGAUACAGAAACAGGUAGAAACAAUAGAUUAUAGCACUUGCUGUUGUUCAGUCAUGUCCGACUCUUUGUGACCCCAUGGACUGUAGUCCGUCAGCCUCCUCUGUCUGUUGGAUUUCCCAGGCAAGAAUACUGAAGUAGGUUGCCAUUUCCUCUUCCAGGGCAUCUUCCCGACCCAGGGAAUCUAAUCCGAGUUUCCUGUAUUGCCAGGUGGAUUCUUUACCAUUAGAUGUAUAGAAACAUGGCCUUGUGAGAACAGAAAAAAAUACUGUCUGAGAUUCAAGGUGAACUGAAUUGCAUUGUUCUUACUUCCCUUCGGAGUGACACAGCUCUUUCAAAUACCCCCAGUAAGGCUAAUGGACACUAAGAACAAUCCACAGUAGUGUACACUACAAUGAUUCAAAACGUAAAAGCAGCACUCAGCUGAGGCUUUGGGUUUUCCAUGUCACAGGCUCUGGCAGAGCUUCUCUGCCUAGAAUACUCUUCCCAAGGCUCACAUUUACAGUAAAUGUAAUUACACUUUAAUGGCAUUCAUCUCAUUCUGUCACUUUUUCCAUAGCUCCUAUUUUUAACCAGUACAAUGGGAACAUUUGUCCUCUGAUUCACGGAUGAGUUUUCAGGCCAGGAGUCUGGCUUUUAAAAUGACAGUCCCUUUCAUCAUAGUGCUGAUUUUUUAAAUGAAGUAACAGCCUGUAAUUAAAACAAUGGAGUACAGCAACCUCAUAAGAUGAGAAGAGACAUUCGGGACUGACUUCAGGCAAUGGGGUCCAUCAGCUGCUGUGCUGGAAGGAGUAAGUGAGAACAAGGGUCUGACCUGGCAUUGAGCCUCAGGAGCUACUCCAAGGUCCUGCACUCAGUCCCUUGGGAAAGAGACACUGAUUCUGAGGUCCCUCUUGGUCAGGCCCGCCCAGCUGGGUGGACCAACGUCAACCAGGGGCUUUGUUCAUCUGGAAGAAGCUAGGGCACCAGUCUUGGCUGCUAGAGCAAUGCACACGGGGCUUCCCCAGAAGCCGGGUCUGGUGAGGCUCUCCCGUCAGAUUAAAUUCCAUGGGCACUUGGAGUCCACAUCACUUGAACUUGGCCUGCUGGGUAUAGCUUCAUCUCGUAGAACAUGGUGGGAGUGACUCUCUUGUGAUGUCUGGGGCUUCCUUCUGGCUCUCUUCACAUGCCCUGGGGACACCCCUCUUGGAAUACAGCUUCCAGGACAGGCAAGGCCAGGGCGUGACUCAGGCACAGCUGACGGCACCAGCUGACGGGCCCAGAGGGCCCAGCCUCCAAACCAGCCCAACCAGACCCCACACAGGGGAGUGAAGGAGCCUUGAGGUGAUGAUCUGGGCCGACUGAGUUACUCCCAGCACAAAUCUGCAUCUCUGAGGGGCCCAAUAUGGUGGGGCAAAAGAAGGCCAUGCCCACUGGGUCUUGAUUCACAGAACUCAUGAGCAUUAACACAAAGAUGGCUGUUUAUAUGCUAGGUCUGUGAUGGGUUGUAGGGCAGCAAUAGCAGCUAGAAUUCCAGGUCUAAUAAAUGAAUUCACAUAAUAAACACAGUACUUAUCAGAGCAAAGCGUUCUUCUAAGCAAGAUCCAGGCAUUAAUUUGUAUCAUACUUAUACUGAAAGUGGCCUCCAUUGAGAGCUCACUGGUCUUUUUCUUUUAAUUCAUUAUUUCCCUAUUUUUGGCUGUGCUGGGUCUUCGUUGCUGCGUGGGCUUUCCUCUAGUUGCAGUGUGUGGGGUUCUCACUGCGGGGUCUUCUCUUGUUGCUGAGCACAGGCUCUAGGACUUCAGAAGUUGUGGCUCGUGGACUCAACAGUUGCAGCACCCAGGCUCUAGGGCACAGACUCAGUAGUUGUGGCACAAGGACUUAGUUGGUCUGCAGCAUGUGGGAUCUUCCCAGACCACGGAUGGAGCCUGUGUCUCCUGCAUUGGCGGGCGGAUUCUUUACCACUGAGUCACCAUGGAAGCCUUAUAAUAUUGAUCUUCAUAACACCCCUGAGGUCCAUAUCGUUAGCAUCUACAUUUUACAGUUGAGGAAACUGAAGUUCAGAAAAACUAAGUAACUUACCCAAAGUUACAAAGAACCAAGCAGGAAAGGUAGCUUCCAGACUGCGGUGAUCUAACUCUGGAACACUCUCCUCAACCACUUGGUAGGUCCUCUGGUUUUGCCCAAAUCCCAGUAGCUUAAGCUUUAUGCAUCAGCUCCACUGACUGGCCCCAGGAUCCACUCAGUAUCCUCUGUUCCUUUCUGCCUGGCCUCACUAAGUUGAGAUCAGAUACUCCAGGGAAACCCACCUAUUUUGCACACCUCGAGAAAAAUCUAAUAGAAAGACAUCUUCUCCCUAUGCUAUGCUAAGUCACUCAGUCGUAUCCGACUCUGUGCGACCCCAUAGACGGCAGCCUACCAGACUCCCCCAUCCCUGGGAUUCUCCAGGCAAGAGCACUGGAGUGGGCUGCCAUUUCCUUCUCCCUAGGAAAGGCCAACUUCAUUAUGCACAGUUCAGCCCAGCCUCACAGUGUCCUCUGGCCCUGACCUGAUUCUGCAGGUCCCAGGCAGGGGCUAAUUGACUUUGCUGCAGCCACACAUGCAACUAGUGAUUGCUUCUUGAGCUGAAAGCCCCUGCUUCGCAGUCGUUUUACCUGGGAACAUGCAGAGUUCCCUGGGUUCCAGGGUGCUAACUCAGUGGGCCUGCCAUCUUCAAAAGUGGACACUGCGUGGUAGUGGCCUUGGAAGGUCUUCAGGAACUCUCAGGUGUUGAAUUUCUUUGCUUUUGCAAACAUUUAUAAUAACUGCGAGCAAAUCCUGGUCAAUAAAGUAUAAUGAUUUGUGGACUUUUAGUGAAAACUUUCUUUCUUAAACUACUUCUGCUAUUUAAGACUUUCUCCUAGAACCAUGGAAUCAAACUCUGAUAGUGGUGUCAUUGCUGUUGUUGGUCAGUCACUAAGUCGUGUCCAACUCUUUCUGACCCCACGGACUGCCAGGC